GGGGCAUUGGCUCAGUUGGUAGAGCGCUGCGUUCGCAAUGCAGAGAUCAGGGGUUCGAAUCCCCUAUGCUCCACCA
rnacentral:tRNA from 2 species